rnacentral:rRNA from 1 species
AGUGAACGCUGGCGGCAGGCCUAACACAUGCAAGUCGAGCGGUAGAGAGAAGCUUGCUUCUCUUGAGAGCGGCGGACGGGUGAGUAAUGCCUAGGAAUCUGCCUGGUAGUGGGGGAUAACGUUCGGAAACGGACGCUAAUACCGCAUACGUCCUACGGGAGAAAGCAGGGGACCUUCGGGCCUUGCGCUAUCAGAUGAGCCUAGGUCGGAUUAGCUAGUUGGUGAGGUAAUGGCUCACCAAGGCGACGAUCCGUAACUGGUCUGAGAGGAUGAUCAGUCACACUGGAACUGAGACACGGUCCAGACUCCUACGGGAGGCAGCAGUGGGGAAUAUUGGACAAUGGGCGAAAGCCUGAUCCAGCCAUGCCGCGUGUGUGAAGAAGGUCUUCGGAUUGUAAAGCACUUUAAGUUGGGAGGAAGGGCAUUAACCUAAUACGUUAGUGUUUUGACGUUACCGACAGAAUAAGCACCGGCUAACUCUGUGC